UUAGAAAUGAUAGAAAACGCUGCGGAACUUGCCUGAGAAUGAUCAUGUUUUAAGUUUUCUUCUGUGUCACAGUAAUCCAGUGAUAGUUGUCUGUACAUCCAU